CAGCAGCCACGGGAAUACGUAGGGCGCAAGCGUUGUCCGGAAUUAUUGGGCGUAAAGAGCUCGUAGGCGGUCUGUCGCGUCUGGUGUGAAAUCCCGAGGCUCAACCUCGGGCUUGCAUCGGGUACGGGCAGACUAGAGUGCGGUAGGGGAGACUGGAAUUCCUGGUGUAGCGGUGGAAUGCGCAGAUAUCAGGAGGAACACCGAUGGCGAAGGCAGGUCUCUGGGCCGCAACUGACGCUGAGGAGCGAAAGCAUGGGGAGCGAACAGGAUUAGAGACCCCUGUGUCCCUGUCUCUUAUACA
rnacentral:rRNA from 1 species